AUGACAAUGGAGGCGUCCAAAUCUCUACCCGCUUUCGUCGUGAUUGUCACGACGCUUCUCGUCGCGCCGACCUACGCGGGCUGGUCCACGGGAUCGGCCACGUUCUACGGAGGCAGCGACGCCUCCGGCACCAUGGGCGGCGCGUGCGGGUACGGUAACCUCUACAGUACGGGGUACGGCACGAACACAGCGGCGCUGAGCUCCGCGAUGUUCAGCGACGGCGCGUCGUGCGGGCAGUGCUUCCAGAUUGCAUGCGACUCCCAGUCCGACCCGCGGAACUGCCGGCAGGGCGCCUCCGUCACAGUCACGACCACCAACCUUUGCCCGGCCAACUACGCGCUCCCCAGCGACAACGGGGGCUGGUGCAACCCGCCGCGUGCGCACUUCGACAUGGCCCAGCCAGCAUGGCUCCAGAUUGGCAUCUACCAGGCCGGCAUCAUCCCGGUGCUCUACCAGCGCGUGUCGUGCGUGAAGCAGGGCGGGGUGCGCUUCACCAUCAACGGGAAGAACUACUUUGAGCUGGUGCUCGUCACCAACGUCGCCGGGAGCGGUUCGGUGAAGGCGGUCUGGGUGAAGAGCGCCACCACCGGCGAGGUGCCCAUGAGCAGGAACUGGGGCUCAAACUGGCAGUCGCUCGCGGGGCUUGCCGGGCAGCAGCUCACCUUCGGCGUCACGACCACCGGCGGCCAGACCAUCGUCUUCCCGAACGUCGUGCCGCCCAACUGGGGUUUCGGCCAGUCCUUCAUCAGCAACCUGCAGUUCUCCUACUGA
rnacentral:rRNA from 1 species